rnacentral:rRNA from 1 species
GCUUCGACUAACCUUUCUUCUUACUUCACCCCUUUUAUUUUAAACCAUUAAUAUAUUUACCUGAGAACUAUCCUUAUCUUUUUCUAGUACUAUAUAGGAACCUCCCUCUAUUUAAUUAGUAGUUAUUAAUUAACGUACCUUUUGCAUCAUGGUUUAGCAAGAAAAAUUUUAAACUAAUAAUCCCCGAAAAUUAAGCGAGCUGAGCCUUUUUUGCUAAGAGCCCCCUUUCUCUUGUUACAAAAAGUUUUCCAAAAAUAGGCCCAGAGGCUACAUACCCUCGCGCUAAUUAAUAGCUGGUUGUUCAAUAACUUUAUAUUAGUAAACCAAGCAAACUUUGCUAUGUUAUAAAAUAAAGGAUAAGCUUUAUUUUUUUCGUAAUAUCAUCCCCACUAUUAAUUUGUAGGCCUAAAAGUAGCCACCCUAUAAAAGUGUUAUAACUUUUUUCUUUAAAUUUUUCAUCUAAGAUACGAACUCAAUUGAACUUCUUCUAUAAACCCACUACUAUAAAUUUCUGCUAAUAUUAAUACUAUAAUUUCCCUUAUUUUUCCCCUAAAACCCCCUCCCUAAUAAUUUUAUAUACCUCAAACUCUUUAAAGGAACUCGGCAAAUAAGAACUUCGACUGUUUAUCAAAAACAUUGCCUCUUGUUAAAAUAUAAAAGGUACAUCCUGCCCAGUGACUUAAAGUUCAACGGCCGCGGUACCCUGACCGUGCUAAGGUAGCAUAAUCAUUUGCCUCUUAAUUAGUGGCUAGUAUGAAUGGACAAACGAAAGUUCCCCUGUCUCUAUUUAGCCAAUGAAAAUUAAUCUUCAGGUGAAGAAGCCUGAAUUUUCUUAAAAGACAAAAAGACCCUAUUGAGCUUUAUUCUAAUUCUAGACAUCUAUAAUAAAAAUAAAAUUUUCUCUAAAAUAAGAAUUUUGCUGGGGCAGCAAAGGAACACCCAAAAAUUCCUUUUUCAAAAGACUUAUUAGUCCACCUAAAUGAUCCAUUUUUAUGAUUAACAAAACUAGCUACCAUAGGGAUAACAGGCUAAUUUUUCUCUAGAGCUCAAAUUGACAGAAAAGAUUGGCACCUCGAUGUUGGCUUAGGAUAUCCUUAGGGCGCAAAAGCUCUAAAAGGUAGGUUUGUUCAACCUUUAAAAUCCUACAUGAGCUGAGUUCAGACCGGCGAAAGCCAGGUCAGUUUCUAUCUUUAAUUUAAUCCUUAACCAAUAGUACGAAAGGACCUUGAGUUAAAAAACACUUUUAUUUCCUGAAUUCAAAUAACACCUCUAUAAACAAUUAAUUCCUUGAAUCUAAUAGGUU